CCUACGGGGGGCAGCAGUGAGGAAUAUUGGUCAAUGGGCGCGAGCCUGAACCAGCCAAGUAGCGUGAAGGAUGACUGCCCUACGGGUUGUAAACUUCUUUUAUAAAGGAAUAAAGUGAGGCACGUGUGCCUUUUUGUAUGUACUUUAUGAAUAAGGAUCGGCUAACUCCGUGCCAGCAGCCGCGGUAAUACGGAGGAUCCGAGCGUUAUCCGGAUUUAUUGGGGUUAAAGGGAGCGUAGAUGGGUUGUUAAGUCAGUUGUGAAAGUUUGCGGCUCAACCGUAAAAUUGCAAUUGAUACUGGCUGUCUUGAGUACAGUUGAGGUAGGCGGAAUUCGUGGUGUAGCGGUGAAAUGCUUAGAUGUCACGAAGAACUCCGAUUGCGAAGGCAGCUUACUAAACUGCCACUGACAUUGAUGCUCGAAAGUGUGGGUAUCAAACAGGAUUAGAUACCCCAGUAGUC
rnacentral:rRNA from 1 species